rnacentral:rRNA from 1 species
AGGGCAGCCAAGUCGUGAGGCGGAGCUAAGCCCUUAAAGCCAUUCUCAGUUCGGAUUGUAGGCUGAAACUCGCCUACAUGAAGCUGGAGUUACUAGUAAUCGCAGAUCAGAAUGCUGCGGUGAAUGCGUUCCCGGGUCUUGUACACACCGCCCGUCACACCACGGAAGUUGGGGGCGCCCGAAGCCACUUAGCUAACCCUUUUGGGAAGCGAGUGUCGAAGGUGAAAUCAAUAACUGGGGUGAAGUCGUAACAAGGUACC